GCCUGGGUGGCUCACUCGGUUGAGUGUCUGACUUCAGCUCAGGUCAUGAUCUCACAGCUCGUGAGUUCGAGCCCCACGUCGGGCU
rnacentral:tRNA from 1 species